GUUCACCUUUAUUUGGAGGAGGAGACUGGUGAACUCAAGUAUGGAUAAACUCGCUUUGGGAGGGAAGCGGGGGGGGGGGGGGGGGGGUUGGAGUUCACUUUUACUGAAUUUCUUUCUUCUAGCAAAUAGAUAUCGAUGAAUAAUAGCUUGGGACUAUUUGCUCGGUAUGAUAUUUGGUGCUAUGUAUCUCUUAGGUGGGAUCAUUUAAUGAUGUCUCCUACUCCUAUUAUUAUGAAGCACUCCAUAUUUGUUUCUUCUCACUUACAAUGUAAUUUUUGUAUCAAAGAGGAGAACUUAAGCAGGGGGAAUCUACAAUCUUGAGUAGCUUUCUCAUAGUGCCUAGGAAAAUCAGUACGAUAGCUGUCACACAAAAACCUAUAUAACAGAGCAACAGGAUGGACUGUGCUCUCUUCUACUUGUUCAUUGCUGCUCUGAGGUCUGGUAGGUAUAGGGGCAGCUUUCCAAGACUCAUGGACAUAAUGUGCAAGUCCACUCCAAACCCAUAUCCUUCAUGAAUUAAAAAAUGCUCAAACCAAAAGCCAUGCUCUUUGAUUGAGUUUGGCUCACCUAUUUUCACAACAUUUCAUCAUUGUGGAUGGUGAGAUAUUGACAACAGCUUGGAUCCUUGCCAUUCCAGUGAACCAUGAAGGCUUGGUCUGCAAUCUGAAAUUCCUUUAGUAGAUAACGGUGAAAGAUGCGAGAAGGGAGACUAUUUAUUGUGUUGAAGAAUGCCAGCUGAGAAAGGUGAGAAGAAGAGACAAAGGAGUUAGCUGACCCAAGUUUAGCUUGUUUUGGAGGCUCAAGCUUUACUUGCUUGAGUAGUUGGAGUUUUACACAUCCAAGUUUAGCUUGUGAUGACAGUAGUGUUUUUUUUGUUCAUCCUCUCCUCACAUGUGUGGUCUUAAUGAAAAUGUAGGCAGUUUGACGGUUGGUGGAUAAUCAGUAGGGAUACAGUUUCUACUUCUUAAUAAUGUCAGUCCUGAUGAUGUCAAUUGAUUUGGGAUUCCUCAUAUUAAAUAUAUUGGCCUACAGGCCUAGUUCCUUCA